GAUGAACGCUAGCGACAGGCUUAACACAUGCAAGUCGAACGGCAGCACAGGGAGCUUGCUCCUGGGUGGCGAGUGGCGAACGGGUGAGUAAUACAUCGGAACGUGUCCUUUGUGGGGGAUAACUACUCGAAAGAGUAGCUAAUACCGCAUAAUACCUGAGGGUGAAAGCGGGGGACUUUAGGGCCUCGCGCAGGUUGGGGCGGCCGAUGACUGAUUAGCUAGUUGGUGGGGUAAAGGCCUACCAAGGCGACGAUCAGUAGCUGGUCUGAGAGGACGACCAGCCACAUUGGGACUGAGACACGGCCCAA
rnacentral:rRNA from 1 species